rnacentral:rRNA from 1 species
CGACGCCGCGUGGAGGAUGAAGGUCUUCGGAUCGUAAACUCCUGUCAUUGGUGAACAAGGCCCACACAGUAACUGGUGUUGGGAUUGAUAGUAGCCGAAGAGGAAGAGACGGCUAACUCUGUGCCAGCAGCCGCGGUAAUACAGAGGUCUCAAGCGUUGUUCGGAUUCAUUGGGCGUAAAGGGUGCGUAGGUGGCGAGGUAAGUCUGGUGUGAAAUCCCGGGGCUCAACCCCGGAACUGCACUGGAUACUGCCCUGCUUGAGUACUGGAGAGGAGAUUGGAAUUUACGGUGUAGCAGUGAAAUGCGUAGAUAUCGUAAGGAAGACCAGUGGCGAAGGCGAAUCUCUGGACAGUUACUGACACUGAGGCACGAAGGCCAGGGGAGCAAACGGGAUUAGAUACCCCGGUAGUCCUGGCAGUAAACGGUGCGCGUUUGGUGUGGGAGGAAUCGACCCCUUCCGUGCCGGAGCUAACGCGUUAAACGCGCCGCCUGGGGAGUACGGUCGCAAGAUUA